rnacentral:misc_RNA from 1 species
GCCUCCCUUGUCCAAUCGGCAGGGGAGGGCUCUCUAUUUUGUUCUAGUAAAAAGAUGGGUAACCUCCCCAUCUCAAUCUAGUGUGGUAUUACUGUUGUUUUGUGUUUAUAGUUUUGUUGAUCUUGGAGCUUCAAGGUGAAGGUUUUAAGUAGAAAAUCAAUGCACAGGAGCUAGGUUGUUGAAGCUCUAUUGGGUUUGUAAAUAUUUUGGGUCUAAGAAGCUGCUGCUUCAAGGUGGGGAGAGGUUCAUGCAUGUCAAGGAUGAUGGUAUCUCUAGGGCUAAAGCCUUCCAUUCCUGCUGAAGGUGUUCCCCUAAUGCUAAGAGAGGCAGGUGAGCUCUACCUUGUCACUCUUUACUGUUGAUGGUGGCUCUAUGUUGGGGAAGACAGGAGGCUUGGUUCUGUUUGGUUUUGGAACUCCUAUGAUCAUCCUUGUGUGCUCUUUGAGCUGUUGGUCAAAGCUACCUUUUUAAUCCCAAUCGGUGGUCUUGCUUGGUGAGAAGAGAGGUACGGCAUCACUUAUGGUUGGGUGGUUCACGGCAUCACUUGGAGUCUGGCGGUGUAGUGAAGAGGUGGUUGUGUCUUCAACUUUUUGCUUAAGUUUAUUAUUUGGG